rnacentral:rRNA from 1 species
UUCGGGGUACACGAGCGGCGAACGGGUGAGUAACACGUGAGCAACCUGCCCCUGACUCCGGGAUAAGCCGGGGAAACCCGGUCUAAUACCGGAUAGGACGCCCCGUCGCAUGGCGGGGUGUGGAAAGGUUUCUUUCCGGUCAGGGAGGGGCUCGCGGCCUAUCAGCUUGUUGGUGGGGUGAAGGCCUACCAAGGCGAUUACGGGUAGCCGGCCUGAGAGGGCGACCGGCCACACUGGGACUGAGACACGGCCCAGACUCCUACGGGAGGCAGCAGUGGGGAAUAUUGCGCAAUGGGCGGAAGCCUGACGCAGCGACGCCGCGUGGGGGAUGACGGCCUUCGGGUUGUAAACCUCUUUUACCACCGACGCAGGCCCGCGCUUCUGUGCGGGUUGACGGUAGGUGGGGAAUAAGGACCGGCCAACUACGUGCCAGCAGCCGCGGUAAUACGUAGGGUCCGAGCGUUGUCCGGAAUUAUUGGGCGUAAAGAGCUCGUAGGUGGCGUGUCGCGUCUGCUGUGUAAGUCCGGGGCUUAACUCCGGUUUUGCAGUGGAUACGGGCAUGCUAGAGGUAGGCAGGGGAGACUGGAAUUCCUGGUGUAGCGGUGAAAUGCGCAGAUAUCAGGAGGAACACCGGUGGCGAAGGCGGGUCUCUGGGCCUUACCUGACGCUGAGGAGCGAAAGCGUGGGGAGCGAACAGGAUUAGAUACCCUGGUAGUCCACGCUGUAAACGUUGGGCGCUAGGUGUGGGGACUUUCCACGGUUUCCGUGCCGUAGCUAACGCAUUAAGCG